GACCUCUGGGAGGCCUUCAAGAAGCGUGUGCCUGUCUCCGGCUACGACGACAUCAAGCCGUACGUGGAUCGUAUCGCCUCCUCCAGCCCCACUAAUCUUCUCUGCUCCGAGCCCAUCACCCACCUCCUCAGAAGCUCGGGCACAUCUGGUGGCAAGCAGAAGAUCUUCCCGUCCACCGCCGAGGAGCUCGACCGGAAGCUCUUCUUCUAUGGUGUCCAGGCACUCGUGAGGAACAUGCAUUUACAUGCUGACCAGGAGAGCAAGCGCGGCAUGGGGAUGCGCCUCACCCUCACCUUCCCCGUCGAACACACGCCGUCCGGCCUUCAGGUCCAGUGCACCAGCCCCAUGGAGGCCAUCCUCUGCCCGGACGCCGAGCAGAGCAUGUACUGCCAGCUGCUCUGCGGCCUGCUCAACCGCGACUCCGUGAACCACGUCGGCACCUCCUUCGCCAACAGCUUCGUCCGAGCCAUCAAGUUCCUGGAGCAAAACUGGGAGGAGAUGUGCUCCGACAUCCGCACCGGCAGCCUCAGUGGCCGGAUAACGCAUGCGCCCCUGCGUGACGCCGUCAUCCAGCGAUACCUGCGAGGGCCCGAUCCGGCACUGGCUGACGCGGUCGCGUCGGAGUGCGCUGCUAGGCCCUGGGACGGUAUUGUCACCAGGCUAUGGCCGCGGGCACGGUGUGCCCUCACCAUAGUCACCGGCUCCAUGGCGCAGUACAUUCCGAUCCUCUGGAGCUACUGCGGUGGCCGGUUGCCGACAGUCUCGCCCUGCUAUGCAUCUACCGAGUGUGCCGCCGGAGUCAAUCUAAGGCCUCUCGACCCGCCCAGCCAUGCGUCGUAUGCGUUGCUUCCUAACAUCGCCUACUUUGAGUUUGUCGAGAUACAGCCUCGUGAUGAAGAAACUCCUACUGUUGAUGACGAUGGCGAUCCCGGUGAGAUGAAGCUUGUAGAUCUUGUGGAUGUCAAAAUUGGUCAGACCUAUGAGCUGGUUGUCACCACCUUUGCAGGUCUUUACAGGUACCGAGUUGGUGACCUUCUCACCGUGACUAGCUUCUAUAAUGCAACACCAUUGUUCCACUUCUCGGGACGACAUGAUGUUAUCUUAAGUAUAGACCAUGAGAAGAUAAGCGAGGAGGAACUACUCAGGGCAAUUUCACAGGCUAUUGAGCUCCAUCUUGGCCCUCUUGGAUACAUGCUC
rnacentral:rRNA from 1 species